AUGGCGCGUGGUCCCAAGAAGCAUCUGAAGUGGGCAGCAGCUCCAAAGCAUUGGAUGCUGGAUAAAUUGACCGGUGUGUUUGCUCCUCGUCCAUCCACUAGUCCCCACAAGUUGAGAGAGUGUCUCCCCAUCAUAUUCCUAAGGAACAGACUUAAGUAAGCCCUGACAGGAGAUGAAGUAAAGAAGAUUACAUGCAGAGGUUCAUUAAGAUCGAUGGCAAGGUCCGAACUCAUAUAACCUACCCUGCUGGAUUCAUGGAUGUCAUCAGCAUUGACAAGACGGGGGAGAAUUUCCGUCUCAUCUAUGACACCAAGGGUCGCUUUGCUGUACAUCCUAUUACACCUGAGGAGGCCAAAUACAAAGUGAGAAAAAUCUCUGGGGGCACAAAAGGAAUCCCUCAUCUGGUGACUCAUGAUGCCCGGCACCAUCCGCUACCCUGAUUCCCUCAUCAAGGUGAAUGAUACCAUUCAGACAGAUUUGGAGAUUGGCAAGAUUACCAAUUUCAUCAAGUUUGACAAUGGUAACCUAUGCAUGGUGACUGUAGGUGCUAACCUGGGAAGAACUGGUGUGAUAACCAACAGAGAGAGGCACUCUGGAUCUUUUGAUGUGGUUCACAUGAAAGAUGCCAAUGGAAACAGCUUUGCCACUCAACUUUCCAACAUUUUUGUUAUUGGCAAGGGCAACAAACCACAGACUUCUCUUCCCUGAGGAAAAGGGUAUCUGCCUCACCAUUGCUGAAAAGAAAGACAAAAGACUGGCGACCAAACAGAGCAGUGGGUGA
rnacentral:lncRNA from 1 species